rnacentral:rRNA from 1 species
AUUGAACGCUGGCGGCAGGCCUAACACAUGCAAGUCGAACGGUAACAGGAAGAAGCUUGCUUCUUUGCUGACGAGUGGCGGACGGGUGAGUAAUGUCUGGGAAACUGCCUGAUGGAGGGGGAUAACUACUGGAAACGGUAGCUAAUACCGCAUAACGUCGCAAGACCAAAGAGGGGGACCUUCGGGCCUCUUGCCAUCGGAUGUGCCCAGAUGGGAUUAGCUAGUAGGUGGGGUAACAGCUCACCUAGGCGACGAUCCCUAGCUGGUCUGAGAGGAUGACCAGCCACACUGGAACUGAGACACGGUCCAGACUCCUACGGGAGGCAGCAGUGGGGAAUAUUGCACAAUGGGCGCAAGCCUGAUGCAGCCAUGCCGCGUGUAUGAAGAAGGCCUUCGGGUUGUAAAGUACUUUCAGCGGGGAGGAAGGGAGUAAAGUUAAUACCUUUGCUCAUUGACGUUACCCGCAGAAGAAGCACCGGCUAACUCCGUG